rnacentral:rRNA from 1 species
AGUGAACGCUGGCGGUAGGCCUAACACAUGCAAGUCGAACGGCAGCACAGUAAGAGCUUGCUCUUACGGGUGGCGAGUGGCGGACGGGUGAGGAAUACAUCGGAAUCUACUUUUUCGUGGGGGAUAACGUAGGGAAACUUACGCUAAUACCGCAUACGACCUACGGGUGAAAGCAGGGGAUCUUCGGACCUUGCGCGAUUGAAUGAGCCGAUGUCGGAUUAGCUAGUUGGCGGGGUAAAGGCCCACCAAGGCGACGAUCCGUAGCUGGUCUGAGAGGAUGAUCAGCCACACUGGAACUGAGAAACGGUCCCGACUCCUACGGGAGGCAGCAGUGGGGAAUACUGGACAAUGGGCGCAAGCCUGAUCCAGCCAUACCGCGUGGAUGAAGAAGGCCUUCGGGUUGUAAAGCCCUUUUGUUGGGAAAGAAAAGAAGCAGGUUAAUACCCCGCUGUUCUGACGGUACCCAAAGAAUAAGCACAGGCUAACUUCGUG